rnacentral:rRNA from 1 species
ACGCUCGACACCUACGGGAGGCAGCAGUGGGGAAUAUUGCACAAUGGGGGAAACCCUGAUGCAGCGACGCCGCGUGGAGGAAGAAGGUCUUCGGAUUGUAAACUCCUGUUGUUGGGAAAAGAGGAUGGUACCCAACAAGGAAGUGACGGCUAACUACGUGCCAGUAGCCGCGGUAAUCUGAGCGGGCUGGCAAGGC